GGAAGCGAAAGUGGUCCGGUGACCGCCCCGGUCUUCAAAACCGGUGUUCGGCAGGCUCGUCCUGUCGAGGGUGUGUUCGACUCGCACACGCUUCC
rnacentral:tRNA from 1 species